rnacentral:rRNA from 1 species
GAUGAACGCUGGCGGCGUGCCUAAUACAUGCAAGUCGAGCGAACAGAUAAGGAGCUUGCUCCUUUGACGUUAGCGGCGGACGGGUGAGUACACGUGGGUAACCUACCUAUAAGACUGGGAUAACUUCGGGAAACCGGAGCUAAUACCGGAUAAUAUUUCGAACCGCAUGGUUCGAUAGUGAAAGAUGGUUUUGCUAUCACUUAUAGAUGGACCCGCGCCGUAUUAGCUAGUUGGUAAGGUAACGGCUUACCAAGGCGACGAUACGUAGCCGACCUGAGAGGGUGAUCGGCCACACUGGAACUGAGACACGGUCCAGACUCCUACGGGAGGCAGCAGUAGGGAAUCUUCCGCAAUGGGCGAAAGCCUGACGGAGCAACGCCGCGUGAGUGAUGAAGGUCUUCGGAUCGUAAAACUCUGUUAUUAGGGAAGAACAUACGUGUAAGUAACUGUGCACGUCUUGACGGUACCUAAUCAGAAAGCCACGGCUAACUACGUG